UGGCUCAUUAAAUCAGUUAUCGUUUAUUUGAUAGUACCUUACUACUUGGAUACCCGUGGUAAUUCUAGAGCUAAUACAUGCAAAAAACCCCGACUUCGGGAGGGGUGUAUUUAUUAGAUAAAAAACCAAUGCCCUUCGGGGCUCUUUGGUGAUUCAUGAUAACUUAACGGAUCGCAUGGCCUUGCGCCGGCGACGGUUCAUUCAAAUUUCUGCCCUAUCAACUUUCGAUGGUAAGGUAUUGGCUUACCAUGGUUUCAACGGGUAACGGAUUUUUAGGGAAAGAUCCCGGAGAGGGAGCCUGAGAAACGGCUACCACAUCCAAGGAAGGCAGCAGGCGCGCAAAUUACCCAAUCCCGACACGGGGAGGUAGUGACAAUAAAUACUGAUACAGGGCUCUUUUGGGUCUUGUAAUCGGAAUGAGUACAAUUUAAAUACCUUAACGAGGAACAAUUGGAGGGCAAGUCUGGUGCCAGCAGCCGCGGUAAUUCCAGCUCCAAUAGCGUAUAUUAAAGUUGUUGCAGUUAAAAAGCUCGUAGUUGAACCUUGGGCCUGGCUGGCCGGUCCGCCUCACCGCGUGUACUGGUCCGGCCGGGCCUUUCCUUCUGGAGAACCCCAUGCCCUUCACUGGGCGUGGCGGGGAACCAGGACUUUUACUUUGAGAAAAUUAGAGUGUUCAAAGCAGGCCUUUGCUCGAAUACGUUAGCAUGGAAUAAUAGAAUAGGACGUGUGGUUCUAUUUUGUUGGUUUCUAGAACCGCCGUAAUGAUUAAUAGGGAUAGUCGGGGGCGUCAGUAUUCAAUUGUCAGAGGUGAAAUUCUUGGAUCUAUUGAAGACUAACUACUGCGAAAGCAUUCGCCAAGGAUGUUUUCAUUAAUCAGUGAACGAAAGUUAGGGGAUCGAAGACGAUCAGAUACCGUCGUAGUCUUAACCGUAAACUAUGCCGACUAGGGAUCGGGCGAUGUUUC
rnacentral:rRNA from 1 species